rnacentral:rRNA from 1 species
UACGUAGGGGGCUAGCGUUGUCCGGAAUCAUUGGGCGUAAAGCGCGCGUAGGCGGUCAGGAAAGUCCGGUGUGAAAGUCAUAGGCUCAACCUAUGGAUGCCGCUGGAAACUGCCUGACUUGAGUCCGGAAGAGGCGAGUGGAAUUCCUGGUGUAGCGGUGAAAUGCGCAGAUAUCAGGAGGAACACCAAUGGCGAAGGCAGCUCGCUGGGACGUGACUGACGCUGAGACGCGAAAGCGUGGGGAGCGAACAGG